CCUACGGGUGGCAGCAGUCGAGAAUCAUUCACAAUGGGGGAAACCCUGAUGGUGCGACGCCGCGUGGGGGAAUGAAGGUCUUCGGAUUGUAAACCCCUGUCAUGUGGGAGCAAAUUAAAAAGAUAGUACCACAAGAGGAAGAGACGGCUAAAUCUGUGCCAGGAGCCGCGGUAAUACAGAGGUCUUAAGCGUUGUUCGGAAGCACUGGGCGUAAAGCGUGCGGAGGCUGUGUGGUAAGUCGUGUGUGAAAGGCGCGGGCUCAACCCGCGGACGGCACAUGAUACUGAGGGUCUAGAGUAAUGGAGGGGGAAGCGGAAUGCUCGGUGUAGCAGUGAAAUGCGUAGAUAUCGCGCGGAACACUCGUGGCGAAGGCGGGUUCCUGGACAUUAACUGACGCUGAGGCACGAAGGCCAGGGGAGCGAAAGGGAUUAGAUACCCUGGUAGUC
rnacentral:rRNA from 1 species